GAUGAACGCUAGCGGCAGGCUUAAUACAUGCAAGUCGUGGGGCAGCACAGUCCGCCGAAAGGCGGAUGGGUGGCGACCGGCAAACGGGUGCGGAACACGUACGCAACCUUCCUACAGGCGGGGAAUAGCCCAGAGAAAUUUGGAUUAAUACCCCAUAAAAUUUUAAGAUGGCAUCAUCUUAUUAUUAAAGCUUCGGCACCUGAAGAUGGGCGUGCGGCUGAUUAGGUAGUUGGCGGGGUAACGGCCCACCAAGCCUGCGAUCAGUAGCUGAUGUGAGAGCAUGAUCAGCCACACGGGCACUGAGACACGGGCCCGACUCCUACGGGAGGCGGCAGUAAGGAAUAUUGGUCAAUGGACGCAAGUCUGAACCAGCCAUGCCGCGUGGAGGAUGAAGGUCCUCUGGAUUGUAAACUUCUUUUAUCUGGACGAAAAAGGGUUUUCUAACUCGUCUGACGGUACCAGAUGAAUAAGCACCGGCUAACUCCGUGCCAGCCGCCGCC
rnacentral:rRNA from 1 species